AUUUGAAGAUGAGACUUGUAAUAAUCAUCAAUUUUAUAUGUUUUUUCAUUAAAUACCACAAUUUUGAUUUUAUUUUAUCAGCAGGUCGCAUUUACUAUAAAACGAUCAGAGUUUUAGUACCAUAUUGGAGACCUUAUGUAUGUGCUAAUUAUUUCCCGGAUGCCACAAAUAUGCAGGUGUAGGUAUAAAAAGUAGCCCGUUUUUAUGUGAGAUAAAUCGGACAGUACCAAGAGUUCAACUUGGAGAGAUUUUAAAACGGUAAGCAGUAAUAUUUUACAGUCCGUACACAUGGUACAUAACAUAUUGAGUGGAAAACUUUUUUAAUUUAAAAUCGAUAAUAAAAAUGUAACAAAGAUAAUAAGAAAC
rnacentral:lncRNA from 1 species